rnacentral:rRNA from 1 species
GUGCCAGCAGCCGCGGUAAUACGGAGGAUCCAAGCGUUAUCCGGAAUCAUUGGGUUUAGAGGGUCCGUAGGCGGUUUUUUAAGUCAGAGGUGAAAUCCUGCAGCUCAACUGUAGCAUUGCCUUUGAUACUGAAAGACUUGAGUUAUUGUGAAGUAGGUAGAAUGUGUAGUGUAGCGGUGAAAUGCAUAGAUAUUACACAGAAAUACCGAUUGCGAAGGCAGAUUACUAACAUAUAAUUACGCUGAGGGACGAAAGCGUGGGUAGCGAACAGGAUUAGAUACCCUGGUAGUCCACGCCGUAAACGAUGGAUACUAGCUGUUCGACCAACAUUGGUUGGUUGAGUGGCUAAGCGAAAGUGAUAAGUAUCCCACCUGGGGAGUACGCUCGCAAGAGUGAAACUCAAAUAAAUUGGCGG